AAUCCAGCAAGAAAACAGACAAAUCAGAGAAUUACAACAAGAGAACAAAGAACUGCGCACAUCCUUGGAAGAGCACCAGUCUGCCUUGGAACUGAUAAUGAGCAAGUAUCGAGAGCAGAUGUUCAGAUUGCUAAUGGCCAGCAAGAAGGACGACCCGGGCAUAAUAAUGAAGUUAAAGGAGCAGCACUCAAAGGUAAUCGAUCCAUUCUAGGAAAUUGACUUGGAAUGAAAACAGGGACUAUUGGUUAACCUAUGUUCAGAUUUUAAUGAAAAUCUAGUAAUACUGUUUCAGUGUAUAUAAAAUACCUCACAUUUUUAAUUGACAUUUUCUAUCAUCAUCAUCAUCCUCCCAUCUCUU
rnacentral:lncRNA from 1 species